rnacentral:rRNA from 1 species
UACGUAGGGUGCGAGCGUUAAUCGGAAUUACUGGGCGUAAAGCGUGCGCAGGCGGUUGUGCAAGACAGAUGUGAAAUCCCCGGGCUUAACCUGGGAACUGCAUUUGUGACUGCACGGCUAGAGUGUGUCAGAGGGGGGUAGAAUUCCACGUGUAGCAGUGAAAUGCGUAGAUAUGUGGAGGAAUACCGAUGGCGAAGGCAGCCCCCUGGGAUAACACUGACGCUCAUGCACGAAAGCAUGGGGAGCAAACAGG